rnacentral:lncRNA from 1 species
AUCCGGUAAAUCUGGAUGUGGAAGUCUCUUCGACUGUCUGAAUGAGUUCUGAACCAUAAGACGUCAAGAUCUACAUUUAUUUUUUGAUCUGUAAAGGGACGUGUUUACCUCGUUCGACUGAGUGAGCGAAGGAUGGCAACUGACCUCAGGCGGUUCAUCACUUCCAUCAUAAAGCUCUGUUGUUUGUCACGCUGGAGAAUAAACGAAUGAUUUGAAGGACGUGGACGAGGACUGAGAUGCUGCGAGUGGAGAGGAAGAGUGACAUGAAGAGGAAAGAAGUUCAUUACUCGGCUGAAAAGGAGGCAAAUGGCUUUCACAGUCGCCUUGGGAACGGGCCUUUCUCUCUCUCACAAACCUAUAAUAAGGUACUUCAGCGGCCUAAACACAAUUAUUGCAUGCUAAAAAGGGAAAUAUUGCUUUCCAGUGUAAUAGGUGGUAGAUAUUGAUUCACAUGGGCGUUCAAGCAGACCUUCAGUAUAAAUGUUUAAUUUGCUGCUUUAUUUGGAUUUUGGACACAAGAAAUUUCCAACAAGAAACUUUUCUUAAUCCUAUUACUAAGUUGACGUCAGAAGACAAAAAAAUCUAUAAGAGUACUUCUGUUAUGGUUAAAUAUUUUUCAAGGCUAAAG